GCUGAAACUUAAAGGAAUUGACGGAAGGGCACCACCAGGAGUGGAGCCUGCGGCUUAAUUCGACUCAACACGGGAAAUCUCACCCGGCCCGGACACUGUGAGGAUUGACAGAUUGAUAGCUCUUUCUUGAUUCGGUGGUUGGUGGUGCAUGGCCGUUCUUAGUUGGUGGAGCGAUUUGUCUGGUUAAUUCCGAUAACGAACGAGACUUUGGCCUGCUAAAUAGUACGCCUGUCCUCUGUGCUCGUGCAGGUGGCGGUGCUCAUUGCCUCUCUGGGGUGAUGGUGCCGUUCGCCGGCGGGUGCGGCGCAGGUGUCUACUUCUUAGAGGGACAAGCGGCGUGCCAGUCGCACGAAAUUGAGCAAUAACAGGUCUGUGAUGCCCUUAGAUGUCCGGGGCCGCACGUGCGCUACAAUGACGGUUUCAACGAGUUUGGGAUCCUAGCCCGAAAGGGUUGGGUAAACUGAACCAUAACCGUCGUGACUGGGAUCGGGGCUUGCAAUUGUUCCCCGUGAACGAGGAAUUCCUGGUAAGUGCAAGUCAUAAGCUUGCGCUGAUUACGUCCCUGCCCUUUGUACACACCGCCCGUCGCUACUACCGAUUGAAUGGUUUAGCAAGGUCCUCGGAUUGGUGCCAUUGUAGUUGCUUCGGCAGCUCGACCGGUGCUGAAAAGACGACCAAACUUGAUCAUUUAGAGGAAGUAAAAGUCGUAACAAGGGUUUCCGUAGGUGAACCUGCGGAAGGAUCAUU
rnacentral:rRNA from 1 species